GAUGAACGCUAGCGGCAGGCCUAACACAUGCAAGUCGAGGGGCAGCACAGAAACAGCAAUGUUUUGGUGGCGACCGGCGGACGGGUGCGUAACGCGUAUGCAACCUACCUUUAACAGGGGGAUAACGGAGAGAAAUUUCCACUAAUACCCCAUAACAUCGAUCAAGGCAUCUUGAUUGGUUGAAAACUCCGGUUGUUAAAGAUGGGCAUGCGUUGUAUUAGGUAGUUGGUGAGGUAAUGGCUCACCAAGUCUACGAUACAUAGGGGGACUGAGAGGUUAGCCCCCACACUGGUACUGAGACACGGACCAGACUCCUACGGGAGGCAGCAGUGAGGAAUAUUGGUCAAUGGGGGCAACCCUGAACCAGCCAUGCCGCGUGCAGGAAGACGGCUCUAUGAGUUGUAAACUGCUUUUAAACAGGGAUAAAGCACAGUAUGUAUACUGUGUUGAAGGUACUGUAAGAAUAAGGAUCGGCUAACUCCGUGCCAGCAGCCGCAGUAA
rnacentral:rRNA from 1 species